rnacentral:rRNA from 1 species
CCUACGGGUGGCAGCAGUGGGGGAUAUUGCACAAUGGGGGGAACCCUGAUGCAGCGACGCCGCGUGGGUGAAGGAGUGCUUCGGCAUGUAAAGCCCUAUCGGCAGGGAAGAAGCAAGACGGGACCUGACUAAGAAGCCCCGGCUAACUACGUGCCAGCAGCCGCGGUAAUACGUAGGGGGCGAGCGUUAUCCGGAUUCACGGGGUGUAAAGGGAGCGUAGAAGGCGAUGCAAGCCAGGGGUGAAAGCCCGGGGCGCAACCCCGGGACUGCCCUUGGUACUGCAUGGCUUGCGUGCGGUAGGGGCAGGCAGAAUUCCUGGUGCAGCGGUGAAAUGCGUAGAGAUCAGGAGGAACACCGGCGGCGAAGGCGGCCUGCUGGACCGCGACUGACGUGGAGGUGCGAAAGCGUGGGGAGCGAACAGGAUUAGAUACCCGUGUAGUC